GAAUUGUAGCCAGUCAUCGUGAAUGUGACAAUUACAACCUGACCAGUCAGGCAGAGGACGACGACGAUGAUGAGGUGCCAUUUAAAUUGACGAGGAACCGCACUAAAAAAGGAACUCCAGAGGGCUUUGUAAGAAAUGAAUUGACAGAUUCAGAUGAAGAGAACAUCAGGGGUGUCAAGCUGCCCAAAUACCCCACUGCACCAAAAAAGCUGUGGUCCAUUCAAGCCUCUGAAGAUGAAGCCAGGUCUGUGGAGCGUGCGGACAGUUCUCAGGGCAGUGAAAUGUCCACUCCUUGCCCUCAAACUGCAAGCACAGCACCUCGGUGUGGAGAUCUGU